AGACAGUGUAACAAGCAGCAGCGCUUCAUAUGAUGUAAACUCUACAUGACGACUCGGGAUGAGAACGUGUUGAUAGGUCACCGAAACAGCUCAAUGUGAUGCUCAUUAAUCAUAAUCAGACAUGAUGCACUAACUGUCCCAGUUAAGUCCCAUUCAGACACAACGUAAGCUGCACCGUCCCAGGGUUCAGUGAGCACAGAGCAGCUGCAGUAAUUUAAAUUUUAAGUAUACAUUAGUAUUAGUUGCUAAUAGUCAGUUUUUCAAAACUUAAGCUCAUUUUUCUAAACUUAAGCUCAUUAAAAAAUAUCUGCGUUCAACUAUGGGGCAUCUCAGUGGUCUUGCUGUCAUCAGCUUCAGUGCAGAUGAAGCUGUGACCUAAAUAACGACCUUGAAGCCAGGAAAUGCAGACGUGCCUCUGCAGAGCCUCCCACAACUGCUGGGAAAUGGCCGUGCUAUAGUUCUCCUGUAGUGGAAGUUUUGUGACUUUUCCUCGGUUAUAUAGAAGCUAUGGCAUACUUCUGCUUUUCCUAUUAUUUAUUUAUAUUUAUUUUAAUUACACUAAGGGCAUGAAAAUGGCCAGCUGGGGGCCUGGUCACAAUUGUUCUCAUUUUACAGCUGAACAGUACCGUUAAAUAUGUUUCAGAAAACAUUUGAGGUGAGAAAUAGAAAAUGCAGUCACAGCAUCUUGAUUCGUAUUUUAUCAGUGCUGUCUGACAGUCUGACCGCAGGUCACCAGCAGUGACCUGCGGUCAGUGACAGUUGACAGUUGCGUCAGAGACUCCUUGGCUCUGAUUGGUUGUUUUCCUCACAUGCAUUAAUGCCAUAAGAGCACAAAGAGAGGGCAGAGGAAUAUGAUUUUUUUUCUGCAGAUUAUCUGUUUCAUGUAUGAUUGUGAGGUCAGUUUCAGCAAAUAUGACAAAGUUAUUUAUCAGAAAGUUACCAACUACAGCUUGAAAGAGUUAAAAGUAAAAAAUUUGAACUGUAGAUAACUAAAUUCUGUUUUUGUUUCUUUUGUCCAGAGUCUGUUUUUUAGACACAAGCAAAAACCUAAAACUGCCCCUCCGCCUCCUCCUGCUCAAUCUGAAACACCACCUCCUCCGUAUAGUGCUGCAUCUUCAAUCUUCAAAUUUGGAUUUGGGAACCGUUUUGGAAAGCCAAAAGGCCCCAGGAGUUAUCCAGAGACCUGGGUUUGAAAAACGGACCUGCUCUUUUAAUGAUGAAUCAACAAAAUGCAUUGCUAAAGGACUUUGACAGUAUCCUUGAAGAUACGGUGGAGGACCACAUACAGUGGACCUGAAAAGCACUGAAGGCCGCUCUGUGUCCUGCACAGCACAGUAACGCCCACAGCAGAGAACUGGGAGUGCCUUGAUUACAGCUCUGAUGCACUUCAUGAAGUAUAUCAGCUCAGGUUGAUUUUAAUUAUUGAUCAGUGCCUCAUUGAACAGCACAGACAGUCACUUGGACCAAUGACUUGAAUGUUUAAUCAAAAGCUCAGCCUCUAGAAUAAUUAGCUUGAAGAGGUGGGCAGUCUGCGGUGAGAAGACGUACACUUCUUGUUUAAAUGCUUAAAGCAACGCUGUAAAAGGAAUACUUUACCCACAAAAUGAUCAUUUGUGUAUCAGUUGA